CUCAAAGGAUAGCAAUGACCAGCAGUGUUACAAAGAUAGAGGCCUCAGCACUGGUUAAUUAUGAUUUGGGUUUAUAUGCCACCUUUAUUCCUCUCAUAGGUAUAUGAAUAUCUGGACUAAAUUGUCUACUAUGGAAAAGUCCUUUGGAUGAGGAAAUCCCUCUGAAUGAGAUAAGAAGAAGAAUAUGUGAGAUAAGGAAACUGAGGCCCAAAGAAAUCAAGUGACUGAUAUAUUAACAGCCAGGAAGAGACUAACACAGACUUUGAACCUGGGUCCUGAAACUCCAAACCAUUCCAUCAGAUAAUAUAAAAAUGAGAACUGGCUAGAAGUCAUCAAGAACUGUUUAAAAAGCAGCCAGAUACCACUAGGGGAACCCAGAAGAGAGACUCCAUUGAGAAAUGCCCUUUUAACCAAACAGUUCCAACAUAUAUCAGACUACCUGAAAGGGUCUUGGGGACUUCUCAGGGGUCCUUCACCCACAUGUUGAGAACUGCUGUUGAAGUGGAUGGCUUGGAGAGUGAAGAAACUUGAGGCAGAGAGCCCAACUAAGAAACUACUAUAAUAGUCCAGAAAAAGUAAGAAGAGUAUGAACAAAGAUGGUGGCCAUUUAAAUGGAGAGAGAUAGAUAAAAGAUCCUGUGGAGAUCAAGCCAGCUUGGUAAUUUUUAUUUUAUUUUAUAUGAGAAUGAAAGAGACUGCAGAAUCAAAGAACUUCAGUGUUAUAAACUUGAAAGAAUAAUGAUGUAUUUGACCAAAAUAGAGGGACAUGUUUCUAGAUACCCAAGCUGAAGUUUUAAAAUUUUUAAAUUUUAUAAUGAAUGAUGCCAACUCAUUUUUUAGAUAAAGGGUGAUAUCUUUUCAUGCUUUAGCUUAGAUAAUAUGAAACUGUGGGAGUUCUUUGGCAAAGGGCAAUAUAAUCCCAGGAGAAGUGUGACUUUUGUGCCUGGGACUAUUGUCUCUGAGGCCUGCACAUUUUUAUCACUUGUGCUUUAUGUCCUUGGUUUGGAAUACUUUGGGAGAAUAAGGCAGUGAGGAUCUUGGCAACAGUCAAUCAUGGAUCAAAUAGACUUUCUGAAUGUUUUUCUGAAUUGAACCUUGGUGUACAAUAUGUGGUUUUCUUUGCCAACACUUCUCAUAAAAUGCAGUAUGAAGUGCAAGCAAUCGUUUACUUCUUCACAGGAUCCAGGAAGACUAGUAUUGCCUAUUAUUUCUAAUUUUGAAUGGAUCACUUUGGGUAUAAGGACUAUAACUAUGUUUAUAAUCAUUACUAUAUAAUAAUCACCAAUACUAUAUAAUAAAAUCAAAUUACAUAAUACUAUACUA